rnacentral:rRNA from 1 species
GGACUACCCGGGUUUCUAAUCCCGUUUGCUCCCCUGGCUUUCGCGCCUCAGCGUCAGAAGAGGUCCAGCAGAUCGCUUUCGCCACCGGCGUUCCUUCCGAUAUCAACACAUUUCACCGCUCCACCGGAAGUUCCAUCUGCCCCUACCUCGCUCGAGCUGGCUAGUAUCGAAAGCAAUUGUCCGGUUAAGCCGAACGAUUUCACCCCCGACUAUGCCAGCCGCCUACGCGCCCUUUAAGCCCAGUGAUUCCGAACAACGUUCGCACGGUUCGUCUUACCGCGGCUGCUGGCAC